GACGAACGCUGGCGGCGUGCCUAAUACAUGCAAGUUGAGCGAUGAAGAUUGGUGCUUGCACCAAUUUGAAGAGCAGCGAACGGGUGAGUAACGCGUGGGGAAUCUGCCUUUGAGCGGGGGACAACAUUUGGAAACGAAUGCUACUACCGCAUAACAACUUUAAACAUAAGUUUUAAGUUUGAAAGAUGCAAUUGCAUCACUCAAAGAUGAUCCCGCGUUGUAUUAGCUAGUUGGUGAGGUAAAGGCUCACCAAGGCGAGGAUACAUAGCCGACCUGAGAGGGUGAUCGGCCACAUUGGGAAUGAGACACGGCCCAAACUCCUAAGGGAGGCAGCAGUAGGGGAUUUUCGGCAAUGGACGAAAGUCUGACCGAGCAACGCCGCGUGAGUGAAGAAGGUUUUCGGAUCGUAAAACUCUGUUGGUAGGGAAGAACGUUGGUGAGAGUGGAAAGCUCAUCAAGUGACGGUAACUACACAGAAAGGGACGGCUAACUACGUG
rnacentral:rRNA from 1 species